rnacentral:lncRNA from 1 species
CCUCCAAAAAAAAAAAAAAAAUUACUAGAUCAAAAAAAUUUAAACUCUUAUGAAUUAACUUAAUCUCUUAUUUGCUUAUUUAUUUAUUUAUAUUGAGGUAUAAUAUAGUUUGCUAUUUUUUUUUUUUUACUUCAUUAGCUUAAUUUUAUAGCUCUUUAUUCUUAUAUUUUUAAGAAAUAUGAAUAUGUAUGCUAAUAGCAUAAAUCUUGAGAGAAAAAAACUUAAUUUAAUAUCCGAAUUUUUUAUUCCGAAUUUUUAAUUGGUGAACGUAUAAUAUUCGUAUAAAUCACGUAUCCGAAUAAUUGAUAAAUCCAGUUUUUUACUGUAUUUUUCAACAAAUUUAAAAAUUAAAAGACAAAUUUUAUCCGAAUUAUAUUAAUACCGAAUUUUUACGGAAUCCAAAUUAAGUAACUAUGAUCUCUACUAGAUUCUUUUUUGUCUUUAUUAUUGUCCUUU